AGCGAACGCUGGCGGCAGGCUUAACACAUGCAAGUCGAGCGGACCUUUCGGGGUCAGCGGCGGACGGGUGAGUAACGCGUGGGAACGUGCCUUCCGGUUCGGAAUAACCCUGGGAAACUAGGGCUAAUACCGGAUACGCCCUUAUGGGGAAAGGUUUACUGCCGGAAGAUCGGCCCGCGUCGGAUUAGCUAGUUGGUGGGGUAACGGCCUACCAAGGCGACGAUCAGUAGCUGGUCUGAGAGGAUGAGCAGCCACACUGGGACUGAGACACGGCCCAGACUCCUACGGGAGGCAGCAGUGGGGAAUAUUGGACAAUGGGCGCAAGCCUGAUCCAGCCAUGCCGCGUGAGUGAUGAAGGCCUUAGGGUUGUAAAGCUCUUUUAUCCGGGACGAUAAUGACGGUACCGGAGGAAUAAGCCCCGGCUAACUUCGUG
rnacentral:rRNA from 1 species